UCUCCGUAGGUGAACCUGCGGAGGGAUCAUUACAAGUGACCCCGGUCUUACCACCGGGAUGUUCAUAACCCUUUGUUGUCCGACUCUGUUGCCUCCGGGGCGACCCUGCCUUCGGGCGGGGGCUCCGGGUGGACACUUCAAACUCUUGUGUAACUUUGCAGUCUGAGUAAACUUAAUUAAUAAAUUAAAACUUUUAACAACGGAUCUCUUGGUUCUG
rnacentral:misc_RNA from 1 species